rnacentral:rRNA from 1 species
UACGUAGGGAGCAAGCGUUGUUCGGAUUUACUGGGCGUAAAGGGCGCGUAGGCGGCGCUGUAAGUCACUUGUGAAAUCUCUGAGCUUAACUCAGAACGGCCAAGUGAUACUGCAGUGCUAGAGUGCAGAAAGGGCAAUCGGAAUUCUUGGUGUAGCGGUGAAAUGCGUAGAUAUCAAGAGGAACACCUGAGGCGAAGGCGGGUUGCUAGGCUGACACUGACGCUGAGGCGCGAAAGCCAGGGGAGCAAAC